CCAAUAGCGUAUAUUAAAGUUGUUGCAGUUAAAAAGCUCGUAGUUGAAUUUCGGGGUUAGUAGGUUGGUCAUGCCUCUGGUAUGUACUGGUCUCACUGAUUCCUCCUUCCUGAUGAGCCGUAAUGCCAUUAAUUUGGUGUUGCGGGGAAUUUGGACUGUUACUUUGAAAAAAUUAGAGGGUUUAAAGCAAGCUAACGCUUGAAUACAUUAGCAUGGAAUAAUGAAAUAGGACGUUCGAUCCUAUUUUGUUGGUUUCUAGGAUUGACGUAAUGAUUAAUAGGGACAGUUGGGGGCAUUAGUAUUCAAUUGUCAGAGAUGAAAUUCUUGGAUUUAUUGAAGACUAACUACUGCGAAAGCAUUUGCCAAGGAUGUUUUCAUUAAUCAAGAACGAAAGUUAGGGGAUCGAAGACGAUCAGAUACCGUCGUAGUCUUAACCAUAAACUAUGCCGACUAGGGAUCGGAUGAUGUUAAUUUUUUAAUGACUCAUUCGGCGCCUUACG
rnacentral:rRNA from 1 species